GAUGAACGCUGGCGGCGUGCCUAAUACAUGCAAGUCGAGCGAACAGACGAGAAGCUUGCUCCUCUGAUGUUAGCGGCGGACGGGUGAGUAACACGUGGAUAACCUACCUAUAAGACUGGGAUAACUUCGGGAAACCGGAGCUAAUACCGGAUAAUAUUUUGAACCGCAUGGUUCAAUAGUGAAAGACGGUCUUGCUGUCACUUAUAGAUGGAUCCGCGCUGCAUUAGCUAGUUGGUAAGGUAACGGCUUACCAAGGCAACGAUGCAUAGCCGACCUGAGAGGGUGAUCGGCCACACUGGAACUGAGACACGGUCCAGACUCCUACGGGAGGCAGCAGUAGGGAAUCUUCCGCAAUGGGCGAAAGCCUGACGGAGCAACGCCGCGUGAGUGAUGAAGGUCUUCGGAUCGUAAAACUCUGUUAUUAGGGAAGAACAAAUGUGUAAGUAACUAUGCACGUCUUGACGGUACCUAAUCAGAAAGCCACGGCUAACUACGUG
rnacentral:rRNA from 1 species